rnacentral:tRNA from 1 species
GGAUAUAGCUCAGUUGGGAGAGUGCUUGAAUGGCAUUCAAGAGGUCAGGGGUUCGAGACCCCUUAUCU